UGGUUAGCGUGACCAUAGAGAUAUGACCGUGACAACUUCAAGAACUGCGGAGCAGAGCUGAACGCGCUGUUUUUUUCCCUCUCAACGUCUUUUGCUAAUCUUCCCACGCUCAGCGGUCAGGUGUUUUUUAUAGAACCAAUGAUGGGGAUCGUGAUGGCAGGGAUCGUCACCACCCACCUCUGAUGUCCACUGUUUCCUCAGGACAACAAACAGAAGACUGAAAUACUCUCAGGAGGCUUGUCACUCAAACCCAGAGCUCUAAAAAUCACACAAAC